rnacentral:ncRNA from 1 species
AAGAGCCGUAUGAGCUGAGAGGUUCAAGUACGGUUCUGUGAGCAGCUGAGGGGGAGGUUCCCUUGGGUGACUCGAC